rnacentral:rRNA from 1 species
GAUGAACGCUGGCGGCGUGCCUAAUACAUGCAAGUCGAGCGAACGGACGAGAAGCUUGCUUCUCUGAUGUUAGCGGCGGACGGGUGAGUAACACGUGGAUAACCUACCUAUAAGACUGGGAUAACUUCGGGAAACCGGAGCUACUACCGGAUAAUAUUUUGACCCGCAUGGUUCAAAUGUGAAAGACGGUCUUGCCGUCCCUUAUAGAUGGAUCAGCUCUGCAUUAGCUAGUUGUUAAGGUAACGGUUUACCAAGGCAACGAUGCAUAGCCGACCUGAGAGGGUGAUCGGCCACACGGGAACUGAGACACGGUCCAGACGCCGACGGGAGGCAGCCGUAGGGAAUCUUCCGCAAUGGGCGAAAGCCUGACGGAGCAACGCCGCGUGAGUGAUGAAGGUCUUCGGAUCGUAAAACUCUGUUAUUAGGGAAGAACAUAUGUGUAAGUAACUGUGCACAUCUUGACGGUACCUAAUCAGAAAGCCACGGCUAACUACGUG